rnacentral:rRNA from 1 species
AUUGAACGCUGGCGGCAUGCCUUACACAUGCAAGUCGAACGGCAGCACGGGUGCUUGCAUCUGGUGGCGAGUGGCGAACGGGUGAGUAAUAUAUCGGAACGUACCUUAUUGUGGGGGAUAACGCAGCGAAAGCUGUGCUAAUACCGCAUAAUCCCUAAGGGGGAAAGCGGGGGACCGUAAGGCCUCGCGCAAUUAGAGCGGCCGAUACCUGAUUAGCUAGUUGGUGAGGUAAAGGCUCACCAAGGCAACGAUCAGUAGCUGGUCUGAGAGGACGAUCAGCCAAACUGGGACUGAGACACGGCCCAGACUCCUACGGGAGGCAGCAGUGGGGAAUUUUGGACAAUGGGGGCAACCCUGAUCCAGCAAUGCCGCGUGAGUGAAGAAGGCCUUCGGGUUGUAAAGCUCUUUUGUCAGGGAAGAAACAGCAGCUCUAACACAGUUUGCGAAUGACGGUACCUGAAGAAUAAGCACCGGCUAACUACGUGCCAGCAGCCGCCGUAA